CAAAAAUAAAGUUAAAAUGUUAUUUUAGCGGAAUUAAAAAUAUAUUUGUAAUUAUUGUUUAUAUUUAGUACAUAUUAGGCACUGUAAUUUCUGUUGAUAGUAGUAUUUUUCGUAAAAACGCGAAACAAAUUUCCCGCCCUGUGAUCGGCUUCUUGAUCUAUCUUCGCCAAUAGAACCAGCAUCAAAGUGGAAGAGGAACUUCUCCUUAACGAUUUUUCAGUGUUUGUUAUUUCAAAAGAUCAAUGGCCUUCGCUCAACAAGUGAAGGGAUCACAGGUGACCCAAUUGUUGCCUAAUGAGGUGGUUACCGAGCAACAAUCAAUUGUUGUCGUGAAGAAGCUUUUGGCCAUUGCAGUUUCUGCCAUUACAUACCUCAGAGGGAUAUUCCCUGGAAAAGCCUACGGGACCAAAUAUGUGGAAGAUCAACAGGUGAUGAUCCUUACAGGGGGGCGGAACUGUCCGGGUGCUGGU